rnacentral:rRNA from 1 species
CGCAAUGGGCGAAAGCCUGACGGAGCGACGCCGUGUGUGCGAUGAAGUCCUUCGGGAUGUAAAGCACUGUCAGUGGGGAAGAUAUUGACGGUACCCACAGAGGAAGGCCCGGCUAACUACGUGCCAGCAGCCGCGGUAAUACGUAGGGGCCAAGCGUUAUCCGGAAUUAUUGGGCGUAAAGGGCGUGUAGGCGGCCUGAUAAGUCAGAUGUUAAAUCUACAGGCUCAACCUGUAGCCGCAUUUGAUACUGUCGGGCUAGAGAGUGGUAGAGGAAAGUGGAACUUACGGUGUAGCGGUGAAAUGCGUAGAUAUCGUAAGGAACACCAGUGGCGAAGGCGACUUUCUGGGCCACUUCUGACGCUGAGACGCGAAAGCCA